GCCACACGUCCGGAGAGACCUGGGAGGUGCGGAGGGGCACAGGUGGCCACGCUGUGAUCUCCUUCCUGGUGUAAAGCGCACUGGCGCCCCCCCCACCCCCAGAAGGGUUAGGCCGCCACUGUCGCUGAGUGAUUGCGUCAUCGAGAGCGGGGGGGGGGGGGUCGGGGGGCGGACCACCUUUGCGUCCCUCUUCGACAUGUGAGGUACCUGCCAUGACGUCACAGCUCUGUGAAGGUGGAAGUCGAGGUUGGCAGGAUUUGAGCCCUUCUCUUUAAAAAGGGAACUUCCCCGUCGUCUCUCAGGACCUCAUGGAGUCCAGAGGGACUAAGAGAGGAGCCGAAAAGAUAGAGGAAGCCGAGCCUUGGAACAAGCUCCUCCUCCCAGCAUCCUCACUGCCCACAGACCCUGCCCUCUACGUUGGACCAUUUCCUUUCUACCGGCGCCCUUCUGAACUGGGCUGCUUUUCCCUGGAUGCACAACGCCAGUACCAUGGAGAUGCUCGAGCCUUGCGGUACUACUGCCCGCCUCCCACUAAUGGUCAAAGCCCCAACUUUGACCUCAGAGACGGAUACCCUGAUCGAUACAGGCCCCGGGAUGAAGAGGUCCAAGAGAGGCUGGACCACCUGCUAUGCUGGGUCCUGGAGCACCGAGGCCGGCUAGAGGGGGGUCCAGGCUGGCUGGCAGGGGCCAUAGUGACGUGGCGGGGGCACCUGACAAAGUUGCUGACGACACCAUAUGAGCGGCAGGAAGGCUGGCAGCUGGCGGCCUCCCGCUUCCAGGGGACACUGUACUUGAGUGAGGUGGAGACGCCGGCUGCUCGGGUUCAGAGGCUCACCCGGCCACCCGUCCUCCAGGAGCUUAUGUACAUGGGGUACAAGUUCGAGCAGUACAUGUGUGCAGACAAACCUGGAGGCUCCACAGAUCCCUCUGGGGAGGUCAACACCAACGUGGCCUUCUGCUCUGUGCUACGCAGCCGCCUGGGAAACCAUCCUCUGCUCUUCUCCGGGGAGGUAGACUGCAUAGACCCCCAGGCCCCAACCACACAGCCCCCCACCUGCUAUGUGGAGCUCAAGACCUCCAAGGAGAUGCACAGCCCUGGCCAACGGAAGAGCUUCUACAGACGGAAGCUCCUGAAAUGGUGGGCUCAGUCAUUCCUUCCGGGGGUCCCAAAUGUUGUUGCUGGCUUCCGUAACCCAGAGGGUUUUGUCUGUUCCCUCAAGACCUUUCGUACCAUGGAGAUGUUUGAAUACGUCAGGUCUUCUGCAUCCUCCUGGGCUUUCUCCAGAAUGACCGUGAUGGCUGGAAUCCCUCCGUGUGCAUGAACUUCUGUGCUGCCUUCCUUAGCUUUGCCCAGAACACAGUUGUCCAGGAUGACCCCAGGCUCGUCUACCUCUUCUCCUGGGAGCCUGGCAGCCCAGUCACAGUGUCUGAACAUCGAGAUGCACCCCACGCCUUCCUGCCUACAUGGUACGUGGAAGCCAUGACCCAGGACCUCCUGUCACCCCCCAAGACACCCUCCCCCAAGGACUGAUGCUUCGCAGGGGCUGGUUCUGUUUCUGUGUGCACAGAUAAAGGCAUAUUUCUAGGUG